GACGAACGCUGGCGGCGUGCCUAAUACAUGCAAGUAGAACGCUGAGGACUGGUGCUUGCACUGGUCUAAGGAGUUGCGAACGGGUGAGUAACGCGUAGGUAACCUACCUCAUAGCGGGGGAUAACUAUUGGAAACGAUAGCUAAUACCGCAUGACAAUAGGGUACACAUGUACCCUAUUUAAAAGGGGCAAAUGCUUCACUAUGAGAUGGACCUGCGUUGUAUUAGCUAGUUGGUGAGGUAACGGCUCACCAAGGCGACGAUACAUAGCCGACCUGAGAGGGUGAACGGCCACACUGGGACUGAGACACGGCCCAG
rnacentral:rRNA from 1 species